ACCUGUCGGUUACAUCCUCAGAUUUUUGUGUUUGUAUGAGCCGAAUGUUGGCAGAAAUUUCAUGUUUUUUUAAUGUAAAUGUCAGAAGGUCCCACACGACUGAGAGGGUUACUCCGCUACCAAUAUUAAAACCUAGCAUUACUGAAGGGGUAGAACAUGGCCAUCGUUAUUUUCAUGUUUAUGGGUGUCAUGGCCGUGGAUUUUGUCCCAUGGGCGCUGCCAUCUUCCAAAUUGAAGAUUUUUUGGCAGAAGUAUUCAGGCGUCCGUGUGAGUCAUAUCGAUCUUCGUGAUUGUUGAAAAGUAGUGUCCGCGGUGGUUUUUCUACCACCCCUCCCCCCUUUUAUGGAGGGAUACCGGGAUUGCGGCCUACUCCCGUUCAGGACCUCUUGCCGUAUUUUAAAAUACGGUCCUCACACGGGUCGGCUCGGAAGUCAAAAUGGCUUCCGAGUCUAAAUGCCAAGGACACCCCGUCGUCCGAUUCCGGACGAAUCCCUCGGGCCUCCGGCCCUAAUUACCCAGGAGGGCCUCUCUCGGCACGGU